UUCACUCAAACAUUCACCAAUAUUCACCAUCAAACAGAGGAACUAUUUUCCGCGUAACCACUUCCGUAUUGUCAACCAAUGGCAAAUAACUGUGGUCUUGUGCCCAAUGUUCUCCGCUCCCAACAUGAACUGAAUUAAAGAUAGAGGCUGAAUGACUAUAUUUGUGCAUAGCUUUGUGAUACGAACACACUAAAGUCACUAAUAUCAGAGCAGACGGCAACAGAAUUGGAGGUUACCCAAAUCUAAAAAUGUUGAGGAGUACAAGAAAAAACACACACA
rnacentral:lncRNA from 1 species